rnacentral:rRNA from 1 species
CUCAAGGAAGAUAAUGACGGUACUUGAGGAGGAAGCCCCGGCUAACUACGUGCCAGCAGCCGCGGUAAUACGUAGGGGGCUAGCGUUAUCCGGAUUUACUGGGCGUAAAGGGUGCGUAGGCGGUCUUUCAAGUCAGGAGUGAAAGGCUACGGCGCAACCGUAGUAAGCUCUUGAAACUGGGAGACUUGAGUGCAGGAGAGGAGAGUGGAAUUCCUAGUGUAGCGGUGAAAUGCGUAGAUAUUAGGAGGAACACCAGUUGCGAAGGCGGCUCGCUGGACUGUAACUGACGCUGAGGC